CUGGGUCUAAAGAGGACAGAAAAAAAAAGAAUACACUUAAAAGGCUGGAAAAACAUCUUACCAGCUUCUAAAUGAAAUAGGGGAUGCAUGUAAUUUGUGAGGACAGUUUCACUGAUUAUAUGUACAAAACCACUCACUGAAACAGGAAACCACAAGAUUUCAAAACUACCAUGAGGAGAACCAGAUCACAUGCCACUGAAAGGUGUGUCUUGGAAGUUGGCACAACCACCCCCUGGAUGACCUCACUCCUGGCCAGGAGACGCUCUGUGAAACUCUAGGCCCAGCAGUACUUGACUUGACAUGCUGGGUCUAGGUUAGCCAGAGGCACUGCCUCCAGAGGCAUGGUGACAAUGAGGGCCUGCUCUUUGAGGAGACUGGAGAGCCAGUACCAUUCACCAAGGGACUACAUGGGAACAGCUUCUGCUCAGAUCUUGGUAUCUCCUAACUCUCAUGCCAGGGUCCCCUGAAGCCAAGGUACACCGUGCUGCAUGGAGGCCCAUCCUGAACAUCAGAGUGAGCAUGAAGGAUGGGGAAUGUCAACUACAAGGCCCUUCACUCACACCUCUCUUCCCACCCCAAUCCCACCCUCCAGUAAGAGCUUUGGUAGCCAGGCUGGCAGGUCACAUUUCCUCGGUGCUAGAGCUGAAAGAAGCAAGCUAAGACAAAACAUCUUGAGAAGAACUUAAAUAAGAGCCAGAGGGAUGCCAGAGCUAAAGCACAGGAAAUGACAAGUGGCCAGAAACGAUAGAAAACAGAGGAAAGAAAGAGGAUGUGGAAUGUCAGAGGAGAGGCAGAAUCUUACAAAUGCCCCAAGCAGAGACAGGAGGUGUCACUUUCUUGGGUGUGUCUGACCUGCUUGUGGGCAGAGAGGAGGGAAGGAGCUGCUAAUGUCACUAAGCUGGCCCCAACACCUCCUUCCUCCAUGGUGAAUGGAAGACUGAAACCAAGCUGGUCUGCAAUCGGUCACCCAGAGGCUUGGCACUCUGAAAAAGUAGAUCUGAUUGCUAAAUGUGGAAAUGAGUAUCACAUAAUCUGAGCUGGUCCAGUGAAAUCAGUGCUUCAAUAUUCAUAAGGCAGGUGUCCACUACCCUAGAGAAAAGCCUCAAUUGUGCAGAGGCAGAUGUGAGAGAUCCAGAGUUGGGCCACCUUGUCCUAGGCCAUUUCCCCACAUUUCAACUUUUAGUAUGGGCUUUCGCACCACCCUUCAUGAGAAAGGGCACCUCCUUCCUCCCCUGAUCCUACCCCUUCCCAAUGCACUGCAUAGGUGAGGGAGGCAACAGAGCCAUGCCCAGUCCUAGAACAGAAAUGUGGACCAAGCAUACUGCACUCAAGCCUAGAGUCUCACUAGUGAAAAAUACACUGAUUGUUUGUUGAAGGUGCAGCCAGAGGACAGACCCAGGGGCCACUCCCUAGGCCAGCUGUGCCAGGUAGCACCUGCUGCCACACUACUGUCUUCUGCUCCAGCCCCUCUGGAGCCUAUGUCUUGUUCAUUGUUAUGGGAGCGCUUUCAUGCCACAGACAAAGAGCCUUAACAAUCACAAAGGACGUCUUUGUUAAUGGUAGUUUAUUGUUGUUAAAUUAAUAUUACAGUUCUCACAUCAAACUCUCUGACUAGAAUCCAAGGGUAUAAUCUAUAUUUUCUCAGAACCUGAGAAGAAAAGAUAGGAAAAUAAUUCUUAAUAGCAGAUCAAAUUCUUCUGUCAAAUAACUCACAUGAUGGUGAUUUCCAGUGGUCAGAGAAAAAGGACCCAGGUGUCCAAGAGAGGCUCUGCAUGCAGAACCCCAGUGCCAAAGUCCACAUGGACACGGAGCCACCUAGCACUGGCAGCUGCCUGUUCUCUGGCAGGAAAUGGAGAGGAGACUAAAGACUCCUUCCACAGACUCCAGCAAGCCACUGAACCAACUGUGCUUUAUUCAAAUGGUGUCCAGUAUAUUCUUCAUUAUAAUAAAAGGUCUACCCAUGCAAUCACCCAGAGAGGCAACUGUUUUUACUAGUUGACAAAAAAGAGUAAGAAAGUUGAAAUCAUAACUUCAGUUAAUAAAAUUUGUGACCCAGAUUCGAUAACACAUGCUACAAGGGGGUAAAAAUCUAGAUUCAGGCUAGAAGCUAAUAAAAAAAGAGAAGCACAACCAGUUAAUAGAUGCACAGAUCAGUAUGAUAAAAUCAAAUCAACUGCCUAGGAGAAGCGUAACUAUUCUCAAGCAAGAGAGAAACUUCUUGUUUUCACAGAGAGAUUUUGUGUAACAGGAUCAGCAAUACCCAUGAUGGCACCCUUAGAGUAAACAGAGCCCAGGAGAACUCAUUGCUUUUGUGUGAUGCUCUCAGAGUAGUUCAGAGGCUAGUGGGUAAUAUGGGCCAAAGGUGAAAGCAAUUCUGUGGAAUUAAUAUAAUAUGGUCCAGGUACAGGGCUGUAAAUACACAGCAAGCACCAAGUGCUCAGCAUGUGCCAGGCACUGUUCAGAGCAUUUUGCCAUAAUGUUUGCAUUUCCUACAAAAAUGUUUCUAUUGAGUAAUUAAAAUCUAUUUGAAAAUCUGGAAGCCCUGUUAGAGGACCUAGAACAGUGGUUCCUGAUAUUUGUCCCUCCUAUAACAGAUUCAAGGAGCCAACUCCUUUCCCAGCAGUCACACUGGUCCAUACAGCAGUGGUGUGCUUGGCAGACAGGUCCCUCCCCUACCCCUAAUCAUUGUUCUAGAGGAACAGUACAUUUCCCUCUUCUACAGGUCCUUCAGAAUCACUGCUAUUCUCCAGCAAUCUUUUAAAAGGUAGUAAACGGCAGUGAGAGAUAAUGUUCCAGACAGAAGCCCACAGUAUCCCUAUCCUUUGCUUUUAAUGAAGUCAGAGCCAUGUGUUUUCAUGAUCUAGACGGGACUGGCACGUGAAAAAACUGUGCUGUUCAGAAAGGCCAGGAUCAAAUGCCACCUCUGUCUGGAGAAAAACUUGGAAAGCAUCUGAGAACAGGGCCAAGAAGGGGAUUGUCUUGCUGAAUGCUAAUAUUCGUCAGCCAAAGGUACCACCUUCUCUGCAGCAAGAGGACAAACCAAGAAUAAUUAGGAGGCUGGGGCUGCACCUAACCAUGUGGAAUCUCAGGUGAAGAACGGUUAAGCCAAUCUACCAUCUUUGGCACAGUGUUAAAGAAGUUUCUUCCAAAUGCAAAGUGGAUAGAGUGCAAUCAGAUCCUUGGCAACAGGAGUCCAACAAGAGAGAGCCUAUCCUGACCUUGACCCUUAUGCCCUCCUCCCCCCGCUCAAUCAUAUAUAAGGGGAGGUUAAGUAUUGCUGAUGGAGUUAUCAUCCAAUGAUCUAAAUGUCUCCUUUUAAGGAAUAACAAAGCAGAGUUCAUAAACAGCAAGUAAAUGGCUUCUUGGUUGAUGAAUGUUCAUGUCAUCACACUCCACGCAUGCAUUUAUUCAAUGACUUAAACAUUCCUGAGCACCCACUAGGUGCCACUUUAUGUGCUAAGCAAUGAUUUAGUCCCUGCCCUUAAAACGAUCUGUGGUGGGGGCCGCGGUGGCUCUGGCCAAUCAUCCUGGCCAGAGGACAACUCGCUUGAGGAGGCGAGGCUAUGAGUUCAAGGACAACCUGAGCAACAUUACAAGCUCUCAUUGAUUAACAACAACAACAACAACAAAAAUGCUCUGUGGUAUUUCAGGAAAGAAGGACAGAAGGAAAAAAGAAAUCAACCUUUGCAGCAGGAUGUAAUAAGUACUAUCAUAAAGAACUAUAUGCACACAAAUGAGAGGAGAGACAAAAACAUUUCACCCUCAAAAGAGAGAAGUGGCUUUACAGUGGAGGUACCAUUUGAAUGAUUGAGCCUGAAGGCUAUAAAGGAAUUCCCCCAGGAGAAUAGAAGAACAGCAGCUUUGGACAUAGCCUUCCCAAUACGGAGAUGCUACCCAUGAAGCUACGAUGAUCACUACCCUUCAGAGAUUCUGCGCUUCCAGAACGAACACAGCAAACACAGGAUACCUUAAGAUGAACUGGCCAUGCUCUCCAACCAAAGGGGCUGGCAUGAAGCUCCUAACUGAUCUUCCUGGGAAGCUAGAUUUGUAGAGAAACACAUUUGAUUUACCAAGAUUUUUUUCCCAAAAAAUUAUAACCCUGGCUAAGCUUGGUCACUGCUAAAUUAUCUUUAUCUGGUGGCUCGACACCUAAAAGGCUUUAGCACUGGGCUGCAGAAAUAGCAUUUGUAUGUGUGCUGGUAUCCUGUGAAAAGAGAAUGUGAAAUCCAGGAGGAGAGUAAGAAGACAAGUCUUUGAAGACAGUCCUCUCCGUGCCAACUCCAAUAGAAGCACUGAGUCGUUAUUACUGAAAACACCUUCAGAGACAGUGCAGCAGGAUUGGGUGUUAGAGUUGGGGUGGCACUGUGACUGUUUUAGCUCCCCUGGAGGCUUUAGAGCCUGGUGUGUCUUCAACUGCCUAGACCUCCCAUAUGAGCAACCAACAUCAUACAGGCAUGAAAAAUCCAAAGUUGGAGAACACAGAAUUAGGCAAGGACCAAAGUGAGGAGCUGCUCCUUGGGUCACAAGAAUGCCACAAAUCCUACAAGAUUUCGAAAUGGAAAUGAAUACAAAGGGAAAUGCAUGGAGAAGAUUACUUGGGAACUACAGGCAGCAAGAAUAACAUGACGGAAGGAAUUUAAAAGAUGACUAUAGGAACAACGCUAGCGCUCACUGGAGGGAGAAGAGAUGAACAAGCAGGCUAACAAAUCACCAGGAAUCUUAAUGGUGAAAGGAAGAAUCCAAGCCAACUGCAUGGGGGACCCACAGUGAUUCCAUUUUCUUUGUGACUUCGGGUUGGAAUGUGCUUAAGCACUGAGUGUGCUGGAAGCCAGGAAGCAGUGUGAAGAUGCUGACAGUCUGGGAUUUCUGUUCCUGGGAAAAUAAACUCUUGCUGAAAGAGCAGUGAUGGGUCCCACAGACCCUGCUUGGAGCUAUUUUUAGAGGCAUUUUCAUGGCUGUGUGGGUUGGAUCCACUGACCUCAAUGUAGGACAGGUGUGAGCUGUUUGUGAGUCAGGAACCAAAUAGCCGAGGGGGCUGAGACCCUCUGGAUACUUGUGGCAGGGGACUACCUUGUUCUAGGCUUUGUGUGUUACAAGAAUGAACUAGAGCAUCAGCCCUGGUCAGCCUUCACUCAGCAACCAAAGCCAAGCUGGCCAGAUCCAGCAGCCAAUGAGACCUCUUGUCAGCUAUGGUGGUCCAGGUUGCAGCUGCCUCUUCUAGGUCUUCAGUACGCUUGGUUUGAGACCUUGAUCUGGAAUGUGGGAAGGGGCAUAGAGCUGAAGGACUGAAUGGCCUGAGAGGCACUUCUAGGAGAGAACCUGGUCCCAUCUCUUCCUCUUUCAACUUCCCCCUUCUUGGUAAUCGCUAACAGCAGUUAAGGGCACACAUGUUACUAAGUGUCUCUCAUAUGUAUGAUACUGUGCUAAUUCUAUUAUCUUACUUAGUCCUCAUAAAGCCUGUAUGUGGUACGUACUAUUAUCUUCCUUAUUUUACAGUUGAAGAAAUCCAGGCUUUUGAGAUGAUUUACCUUGGACCACACAGCUGGCACACUUACUGUUUGUCAUCUGAGGUUUAUUUCCUGGGACUGUUUCACCUACGUCUCUAGCACCAGGUAGAAGAUCCACAAGAGACUGGUUCUAUUGUGCUCACUACUGUACACCCAGUACCCAAAACUCAGUAAAGAUUUGCUGCAUGAGUGCUGCUGCACUCACACAAAAGCCAGCCAGCUCAGUGUCUGGGAGUUGGGGUCCAGGGACCUGCAUGCCCCUUCCGAGCUGGACGCUUCCUGGCUCUCCUGUCCUUCUGCAGUUACAAGGUCAAGUCUCUAACCUGUCAGCUGCUUUUGCCCUUCCUGCCUCUGAAAAAUAUUCAGCCUAAAAUCCCUGAGUGUGAAAAUAAAUUCAUACCUAUCUUAGUCAAUUUAAAGGCAGCCACAAAAGAGGAAACAGCCUGAAUUCUAGGAGUGCGAUGCUACUCCAGCCCCCAACGUUCAUUCAUUCCUUGCUCAUACCACACACUAAGGCUUAUCUAAAGAAAGGGCAUGAACAACUUGCAACAUAAAUCCUCAGCUUCAGAGCAUUCAAAAGAGAACUCCCUGAAAGCUUUCCUCUGGAAAUGCAGAAGCUGAUUCUGCUGACAGCAGAUGUGUCCUCCACUGGAUAAAAUCAGAGUGAGAAUGAGUUAAACAACUUCCGAAUU